ACGGGUGAGGAACACGUGGGGAAUCUACCUCCUGGCGGGGGAUAACGAUCGGAAACGGUCGGUAAUUCCGCAUACGCUCAUGACCCGAGUGGGGGUGAUGAGGAAAGGGCUUCGGCUCACCGGGAGAGGAUCCUGCGGCCGAUUAGCUAGUUGGUGGGGUAAUGGCGUACCAAGGCGAUGAUCGGUAGCUGGUCUGAGAGGAUGGCCAGCCACUCGGGGACUGAGACACGGCCCCGACUCCUACGGGAGGCAGCAGCAAGGAAUUUUCCGCAAUGGGCGAAAGCCUGACGGAGCAACGCCGCGUGCGGGAUGACGCAUUUCGGUGUGUAAACCGCUGUUCGUGGGGACGAAGCACUGACGGUACCCACGGAGGAAGGCCCGGCUAACUACGUGCCAGCAGCCGCGGUAAUACGUAGGGGUCGAGCGUUGUCCGGAGUUACUGGGCGUAAAGCGUGUGCAGGCGGCUCAUUGCGCCCGGCGUGAAAGCCCCCGGCUCAACCGGGGAGGGUCGUCGGGGACGGGUGAGCUUGAGGGUAUCAGGGGCUGGUGGAAUUCCCGGUGUAGUGGUGAAAUGCGUAGA
rnacentral:rRNA from 1 species